rnacentral:rRNA from 1 species
AACGUAGGACGCAAGCGUUAUCCGGAGUUACUGGGCGUAAAGCGCGGGCAGGCGGCUGUCUAAGUCUGAUGUGAAAGCGCCCGGCUUAACCGGGCGAGGCCAUUGGAAACUGGAGAGCUGGAGGGCAGUAGAGGCAGGCGGAAUUCCGGGUGGAGUGGUGAAAUGCGUAGAGCUCCGGAGGAACACCAGUGGCGAAGGCGGCCGCCUGGGCCAGUCCUGACGCUGAGCCGCGAAAGCGUGGGGAGCGAUCCGG